UACGUAGGCAGCAAGCGUUGUUCGGAAUUACUGGGCGUAAGGAGUGCGUAGGCGGUUAACUAAGUUUGGUGUGAAAUCUCCCGGCUUAACUGGGGGGGUGCGGUGAAAACUGUCUAACUAGAGAGUGGGAGGGGAUAGUGGAAUUCCUGGUGUAGCGGUGAAAUGCGCAGAUAUCAGGAGGAAUACCUGUGGUGAAGGCGACUAUCUGGACCUAGACUGACGCUGAGGCACGAAAGCGUGGGUAGCAAACAGG
rnacentral:rRNA from 1 species